rnacentral:rRNA from 1 species
AUUGAACGCUGGCGGCAGGCCUAACACAUGCAAGUCGAACGAGUGGCGGACGGGUGAGUAAUGUCUGGGAAACUGCCUGAUGGAGGGGGAUAACUACUGGAAACGGUAGCUAAUACCGCAUACCAUCGGAUGUUCCCAGAUGGGAUUAGCUAGUAGGUGGGGUAACGGCUCACCUAGGCGACGAUCCCUAGCUGGUCUGAGAGGAUGACCAGCCACACUGAAACUGAGACACGGUCCAGCCUCCUACGGGAGGCAGCAGUGGGGAAUAUUGCACAAUGGGCGCAAGCCUGAUGCAGUCAUGCCGCGGGUGUGAAGAAGGCCGUCGGGUUGUAAAGUACUUUCAGCGGGGAGGCGUUACCCGCAGAAGAAGCACCGGCUAACUCCGUGCCAGCAGCCGCGGUAAUAC